UUCGGCCAGUGAACAUCGUUUAAGAGUGCAUUUAACUAAAUUGUAUUUUUAACCCUUCCAGGACCCUUCACAGAGCUGAAACAUUUCCUCAUGUAAACCUGUGCGAAGCACUGCUUAUAAUCAUUGUCAAAUAGGUUGACUUCGAAGGAUGGACCUAUGACAUGGAGCUGGGUGGGAUGUGUCAAUGGGACAGGAGCCAAUUUUACCUCUAAAGACACCAAUUCUUUGCCAUAUUGCAACAUAUUCAUG